GGAUGAGUCCGCGUCCCAUUAGCUUGUUGGCGGGGUAACGGCCCACCAAGGCGACGAUGGGUAGCCGGCCUGAGAGGGUGAACGGCCACACUGGGACUGAGAUACGGCCCAGACUCCUACGGGAGGCAGCAGUAGGGAAUAUUGUGCAAUGGGCGAAAGCCUGACACAGCAACGCCGCGUGGGUGAUGAAGCUUCUUGGAGUGUAAAACCCUGUCAGUGGAGAAGAAAAGUAUGGGGAGUAACUGCCCUAUACCUGACGGUACCCACAGAGGAAGUCCCGGCUAACUCCGUGCCAGCAGCCGCGGUAAUACGGGGGGGACAAGCGUUGUUCGGAUUUACUGGGCGUAAAGGGCGCGUAGGCGGGCCUUCAAGUCGGUUGUGAAAACCAGCAGCUCAGCUGCUGGCCUGCAGUCGAUACUGUUGGCCUUGAGUACAUGAGAGGAAAGCGGAAUUCCAGGUGUAGCGGUGAAAUGCGUAGAUAUCUGGAAGAACACCAGUAGCGAAGGCGGCUUUCUGGCGUGAUACUGACGCUGAGGCGCGAAGGCUAGGGGAGCAAACAGGAUUAGAUACCCUGGUAGUCCUAGCGGUAAACGAUGGGUACUAGGUGUCGGGGGAUUUCGACCCCCUCGGUGCCGAAGCUAACGCAUUAAGUACCCCGCCUGGGGAGUACGGUCGCAAGAUUGAAACUCAAAGGAAUUGACGGGGGCCCGCACAAGCGGUGGAGUAUGUGGUUUAAUUCGAGGCAACGCGAAGAACCUUACCUGGGUUUGACAUGCUUGGGCCUGCUGGUGAAAGCCAGCUUUCCCUUCGGGGACCCUUGCACAGGUGCUGCAUGGCUGUCGUCAGCUCGUGCCGUGAGGUGUUGGGUUAAGUCCCGCAACGAGCGCAACCCUUGUCCAUAGUUGCCAUCAGAUAAUGCUGGGGACUCUAUGGAGACUGCCGGUGAUAAGCUGGAGGAAGGU
rnacentral:rRNA from 1 species